AUAUUUGAGUUAGUGUUUUAUAUAAAAUAUAGUUUUUUUAUAAUUAGUAUAGAUUUUCACCUUUUUUUUCCUCUAUUAUGAAGAGAAAUGAAGAAAAUAGGAUGUUAUUUCAUUUCACUGUUUAAAUUUUUUAUUUUUUUAUAUAUUAAUUUAGUCUUUUUGGCAACAUAACAGAGAAAUAACAUUAAUGGAGGUGACAUUAAAUGAGACCUACUGUAUGACCACUUCUGUCUCAAAACCAGAUGCAGAUUAUAUUCCUGAAACUUUCAAUAGUAUAACAGCAGUGGUUCUUAAAGUGGGCAGUACCAUCCCCCCAAUGAGCUGGAACAAUCCAAGAGGGAAUUUGAAGCUCCAAGUGAUAUUGGGGGUGCUAUAUAAAAAUCUGUGGGUGGUGGAAGAAAUAAUUGAAUGAAUGAAUUAUAAAAAGCUUUUUAAAUUACUGUACAUCUUAUAUACACAGUGUUUUUAUAGAGCUGGAAC
rnacentral:lncRNA from 1 species